rnacentral:rRNA from 1 species
CCUACGGGAGGCAGCAGUGAGGAAUAUUGGUCAAUGGCCGGAAGGCUGAACCAGCCAUGUCGCGUGAAGGUCAGUGCCCUAUGGGCGUUAAACUUCUUUUGUGCGGGAGCAAUAAUGGUCACGUGUGGCCAGACGAGAGUACCGUACGAAUAAGCAUCGGCUAACUCCGUGCCAGCAGCCGCGGUAAUACGGGGGAUGCAAGCGUUAUCCGGAUUUAUUGGGGUUAAAGGGUGCGUAGGCUGUGAGGUAAGUCAGCGGUGAAAUGCCCCCGCUCAACGGGGUGAAGUGCCAUUGAUACUGCCUUGCUGGAAUGCGGAUGCCGUGGGAGGAAUGUGUGGUGUAGCGGUGAAAUGCAUAGAUAUCACACAGAACACCGAUUGCGAAGGCAUCUCACGAAUCCGCGAUUGACGCUGAUGCACGAAAGCGUGGGUAUCAAACAGGAUUAGAUACCCCUGUAGUC